AGAUGGAGAUCUGGAUGGGUUGUGGUUUGAGUUUCAAGCAAAGAAGAAUAUGAAGAUCUAUUUGUGAGUUGUGAUUUUGAUUUCAAGCGAAGAAGAAGACAAUGAAGAUACAAGUUAUUGAUGAUUAUUUUUCUCUUUUCAUAGUUUUAUUGUUUUUUAAUUAAAGAAUUUAGUUUGAUGAUUGUGUUUCACUCUUUUGAAGGAUUUUAAUUUUUUAGAUAAUUCAUUAC
rnacentral:lncRNA from 1 species